GACGUAGGGCGCGAGCGUUGUCCGGAUUUAUUGGGCGUAAAGAGCGUGUAGGCGCCAUACAGGCCGUUGUGAAAACUCGAGGCUCAACCUCGAGACGUCGAUGGAAACCGUAUGGCUAGAGUCCGGGAAGAGGAGAGUGGAAAUUCCUGGUGUAGCGGUGAAAUGCGCAGAUAUCAGGAAGAACACCGGUGGCGAAGGCGGCUCUCUGGGCCUUACCUGACGCUGAGGAGCGAAAGCGUGGGUAGCGAACAGG
rnacentral:rRNA from 1 species